rnacentral:lncRNA from 1 species
AGGUGAUGUUUUCUAGACCUAGAGCACAAAAACAAGAUAAAUUCGGUUGACCUUAUGAAUUUCUCUAUCAUGUGUGUUACCACUCUUACAAACCAGUUACCUACAGGUUAAUACUAUGUGUGCGUUUUUUUGGCUUUUUUUGCACAUAGAAUUUUCUACAACACUACACUAUUUUGUCCUUACACCUAAAAAAUGGCACCAGCCCUAACAUUAUCUCUAAAAAGUGAAUACAUAUGCGGGUGUCCAUGUAAAGAGCAAAUUCUCAGUUCAAGCUGCUUCGUUUGAUAUCCUUGCUCUCUGUUCCUUCUCUCUCUUUAUGGCUCAUGUGUUGUUAACAAAUUCAGGUAUUUGUAAUGUUAAUCAUACCAAUAUGCAUGUGCAGUACUUCGACACUAAGAAUGUUAGUUCCUAUUGUUACAACUGCUUUUCAUUUUAUUUUAAAUAGUUCUCGGUGUUUUAAUAUAGACAUACAAAAACCAAGCAAAUGAGCCUAUUACUCUGAACUCAAAAAGAAAUAACAAUUAUUCAUACAAUUACAUUUCGUCAGCAUUUUUUCCUCUGUUAACAGACAUCGAGCGAUUGUCACCGGUACACAACUCAAGCGAACAUGAAUGUGAAUGUGAAUUCAACCGCAGCAUGAAUUACUGAUCAUCGUCGCGUCCAACCUGAAGACCAGCAAAAAUCCAACCUGAAGACCAGCAAAAAAUAACCAUCCUUACAAGCAUGUCUGCCGCUCUCAUGUACUAUAGUAGUUCGACACUGCCAAAACCUAUUGUAAUAUCGGGUCUGCGCCCUACUAAUCUUGCACAAUG